CCUACGGGAGGCAGCAGUGAGGAAUAUUGGUCAAUGGACGCAAGUCUGAACCAGCCAUGCCGCGUGCAGGAAGACGGCUCUAUGAGUUGUAAACCGCUUUUGUACGGGGGUAAACGCAGAUACGCGUAUCUGUCUGAACGUAUCGUACGAAUAAAGAUCGGAUAACUCCGUGCCAGCAGCCGCGGUAAUACGGAGGAUGCAAGCGUUAUCCGGAUUUAUUGGGUUUAAAGGGUGCGUAGGCGGGCGGGUAAGUUAGCGGUGAAAUCCCGAGGCUCAACUUCGGAAUUGCCUCUGAUACUGUUAGGCUAGAGAGUAGUUGCGGUAGGCGGAAUGUAUGGUGUAGCGGUGAAAUGCUUAGAGAUCAUACAGAACACCGAUUGCGAAGGCAGCUUACCAGGCUACAUCUGACGCUGAGGCACGAAAGCGUGGGGAGCAAACAGGAUUAGAUACCCGGGUAGUC
rnacentral:rRNA from 1 species